ensembl:lncRNA
UAAAUUCGUUCCUCAGUGAAGGAAAAAACCUAGUGUACUACUGUUUGUGGGCUGGCUGGACCUGUUACGGAUGCUGUGGAGUGGGAGUAUGUGACAUUUUUUUUUUCAUUGAGGGCUCAUUACAAGACACACUUGGGCUGCUUAAACUCCCCCAAACUCGUGAAUUGGUUCAAUAACCAAAAGCAUGAAUCGUUUUAAUAUGAAGGUGCAGGACAUCUGCUUGAGUAAUUUCUGACGCUUUUUUUUUUUUCUUUUCCUGAAAAUGUGUUCUAUUUAGGAUUUACUGUUAGAAAUAAAAGUGGAUUGUGGGAGGCCAGGGCCUGUUGCGGGUUUGAUCCCUGGCCUUGCUCAGUGGGUUAAGGACCUGGCGUUGCUGUGAGCUGUGGUGUGGGCCAGCGACUACAGCUCCGAUUUGACCCCUAGAUUGGGAACCGCCAUAUGCCGUAGGUGCAGCCCUAAAAAGACAAAAGGCCCCCCCCCCCCAAAAAAAACCCUCAAAGAGCUAACUUUUUCUUGGUUACUUAAAGUGGGCAAGGGCCCUGUACUAAGUACUAAAUACAUUCUCACUGGCUGUUCCCUCCCGUUAGUAUUUCUAUUUCCCGCUUCCCUUUCUGUUACACAAACGUGGUCCUCCCUCUGCCACCGUUCUCCAGCCUGCGGUGCUUUGUCUCUCAUCCCUUCCAGGGACCCUGAUGGGAGAGUGCAGUUGUUAUCUCCAUUUUACAGAUGAGGAAAUUGAGGCUUAAAGAGGAUCAGUAGCUUCCCAGCAUCCUGUGUCAGUUGUUUAAAACCAAGCAAGGGAUUAUGACUCUCAAGCUCCCUUUUCCUCCCACUCCCCUGCUUUGAGUUUGGGAGGGAAGGUAUAGGCUUUUGUUUUGUAGGAUUAUUUAUUUAAGUACUGGUUUCUGUUCAAUCACAGGGGCCUGUGAGCUAGUUAAGGGCUUUAUGCUCAGUCUAUCUUGUAUGUUUUUACUGGGAAAAGGCUGUUGCCCAUCCUAUCUCUUAUAGAUCCAUUUUGGCAAAACUCGCUGUGAAGUGAAUUUUUGUAAAGUGAACUUGAAUAAAGUGAAUUACCCCAGAGUGAAUCCUUUUAUUUUUAUUUAUUUAUUCAUUUUUUUGGCUAUGCCCACAGCAUGUGGAAGCUCCCAGCCCAAGUAUCGAACCCUCAUCACAGAAGCGACCUGAGCCACUGCAGUGACAACUCCGGAUCCUUAACCUGCUGCACCACAAGGGAGCUCCUUAGAGUGAAUCCUACUUCCUGAUUGUUUCCUUCCUAAAAAAUCAGAUCUCUUCCAGAAAGUGUCCCAGGAGGCCACAGCCUCCAGAGGAGCUGGGCUUUGAGGAGUAGUGUUUGCAUCUGCCUUUGGCCUAAUGCCUGGCCCUCCCCCACCGCAUAGGCUGUGGUGCUGCUCCUGGCAUUGUGUUCUCUGUGCAGGUGGUAACUGUGCCCAGCAGUGCUGGGGCCCAGGUGCAGCACGGGCUAUUUAUCAUUUAUUCCAUGGGUUGUAAACUCUUGAGCUCACGUGCUAUUUUAAAUAUCAGAAAGUCUCAUUUAACAUUCCUGACUUGAGAUUUCUAUUAGAAAAUUGGAAGUUUUGGGGAGUUCCCAUCAUGGCACAGUGGUUAACUAAUCUGACUAGGAACCAUGAGAUUGCAGGUUCGAUCCCUGGCCUCGCUUAGUGGGUUAAGGAUCCGGCGUUGCCAUGAGCUAUGGUGUAGGCUUCAGACGUGGCUCGGAUCCCGCAUUUCUGUGGCUCUGGGGUAGGCAGGGGGCUAUGGCUACGGCUCCGAUUAGACCCCUAGCCUGGGAAUCUCCAUAUGCCGCGAGGGCAGCCCUAGAAAAGGAAAAAAAAAACCCAAAAAAAAAAAAAAG